rnacentral:rRNA from 1 species
ACGCUCGACACCUACGGGAGGCAGCAGUAGGGAAUCUUCCACAAUGGACGCAAGUCUGAUGGAGCAACGCCGCGUGAGUGAAGAAGGUCUUCGGAUCGUAAAACUCUGUUGUUAGAGAAGAACACGAGUGAGAGUAACUGUUCAUUCGAUGACGGUAUCUAACCAGCAAGUCACGGCUAACUACGUGCCAGCAGCAGCGGUAAUCUGAGCGGGCUGGCAAGGC